CUGCGAGUGAAGAGGGAAGAGCUCAAAUUUAAAAUCUGGCGGGGUAGCCCGUCCGAGUUGUAAAUUAGAGAAGCGUCGUCAGCGCUGGCCUGUGCAAAAGUCUCUUGGAAAAGAGCAUCAUAGAGGGUGACAAUCCCGUGUUUGGCACAGAUCGCCAGGGCGUAUUGAUGCGCUUUCGAAGAGUCGAGUUGUUUGGGAAUGCAGCUCUAAAUGGGUGGUAAAUUCCAUCUAAAGCUAAAUACAGGCGAGAGACCGAUAGCGAACAAGUACCGUGAGGGAAAGAUGAAAAGAACUUUGAAAAGAGAGUUAAACAGUUUGUGAAAUUGUUGAAAGGGAAACGCUUGAAGUCAGACUUGUCUGAUAGAAAUCACCCAGAUCAUCUGGCACACUUUCUGUCGGACUGGUCAGCGUGAAUUUUGACCCGCGGACAACGACGUCGGGAAGGUGGCACCUCCGGGUGUGUUAUAGCCCGUCGAAGCGGACGAGGGUCAGGAUUGAGGAACGCGGUCCAGGACGCUGGCGUAAUGGCUUUAAUCGACCCGUCUUGAAACACGGACCAAGGAGUCUAACAGGCUUGCGAGUGUUUGGGUGGAAAACCCAUGCGCGCAAUGAAAGUGAAAGUUGAGAACCCUGUCGUGGGGUGCAUCGACGCCCGGACCUGAGCUUUUGUGAAGGAUCUGCGGUGGAGCACGCCUGUUGGGACCCGAAAGAUGGUGAACUAUGCCUGAAUAGGGUGAAGCCAGAGGAAACUCUGGUGGAAGCUCGUAGCGAU
rnacentral:rRNA from 1 species